rnacentral:misc_RNA from 1 species
AUGAGCUCUGUGCCGUGACGUGUCUUCCAGCGUAUGAAAGCCAUGGCUCAAGCGAAGAGCGUGUUAGAUGAUAUCAAAAAGGAACUAGAAUGCCCGGUGUGCCAAGAGCAAUUCAGUGGGAGCAAUGAGCCGAAAAUUCUAAAAUGUCAACACACGUUUUGUAAAUCCUGUCUUAACGGCUGGCUACGACAGCAUGGCGGAGGAAGAUUGAGCUGCCCGAAAUGUCGAGUGAUUACCGAAUGUUCCACCAACAACAUUGAUUGCUUGCCAACCAACCUUGCUUGUAAAAAUCUAGGAGAUAUCUUAAAAACUCACAGUGGCUGGGAUAUCAGAUCACUACAGGAGAAUUUAUGCAAGUGCCAUAGGAAAAGUCUUGAAUAUUACUGCGAACAUUGCCAGAUUUGCAUAUGCUCUGACUGCGUCAUUGUCGAACAUCGGGAUUCGAACAAUCACAAGAUCUUGUCUGUAGAAGAAGGAGCGAAGAUACAGGCAGAAAUUAUCACAGAAGAACUGAGAUCUGUUGAAGCGAACACUUCGCAUUUGAUGAGCGAUAUUGCUACUUUAGUGGAAAGAAGAGAGAAAUUUAACACUGGUAUAGAUCAGGCGACGAUAGAGGUCCGUAACGUGGCUGAAAGGUGCAUAUAUUUGAUUCACCGACAUGAAGCAAGCGUGACGGAGCAGCUGGCGAGGGAGAGAUCGCUUAGCGAUGAUGCUAUUUCCCAGGAGUUGUUGAAGCUGACUGAGAAACUGGAGAAAAUGACUAGCGCUGCUAUUCGUGGUAGAGCGAUUCUUGAAAACCAUAACAUAGACGAAAUGAUAAAUAUAAAACAAGUUCUCGAUGAAUUGAUCUCAGAGAAAGUCACACCAGCGCUUAAAUAUCCAGAUUUAAAAUACACCUCAUAUGCACUCCCUCGAAAUUUCACCACAGGGAAGCUGUUAAUAACUCGCACGGAACCUUCUUUGAGUGUCGCCACUGGUGAAGGCCUGACAAAGGGUAAACGGUCAGAAGAAGCUAAUUUUACCGUGACAACAAAGGAUGCAAAGGGUCAGACAACUUACAGCGAAAUGGACAAGGUCAUUGUUGAGGUUACUUCUGUACGGAAGGGAAUAAAAAACAUUUCAGUUGUGGUGAAGGACUUGAAAGACGGACGUUAUUCUGUUUCUUACACACCGAAUUCUUUUGGCGAAUUCAGGGUUUCAAUCAAAGUACGAGAUGAACCAAUUCGCGAGAGUCCCUUUAAACUGUUCAUUCACAACAACCCGAAGCAAGACUUCCUAGACUGGGCUUCUAAAUUUCAUGGCCCAGAGUUAUCAAAUCUGCAGUUAAAAGAAACUCAAGACGCAGAGAGAGGGUUGAGCCAACCCCAUACCUUUAAAAACAGUACCUUUACUGGCAGACCCCUAUAUCAAAGAAAAUCUUUCAGAUCAGAGGAAAAGAGAAGAGCUGCACUGGGUGAGUUUCAAAAUCAAGACACUCAUCAAAACAACAGGAGACAGCGAGACGACGCUUCAAGAGAACCUCCCUCUCCUCAAGAGCCUACCUCUGUGACAUCAGCCCAGUAUGGAUCACCCAUUCCCGAGCAAUGCACAAUCGAAGUAACCGGUUUGCCAGAAGAUGCAUCUGAGGAUUUGGUGACAAUCUACUUCGAAAACACCAGACGUUCUAAGGGGGGUCCUGUGUCUUCCGUAGUCAUGACACCCGAACUUCGGAAGUGCCUGGUCACCUUUGAAUCUCCUGAUGAUGCAGAGCGGACGAUAAGUUAUUCAUCUCAUGUUUUGAGCGGAGCAAGUAUACAAGUCUCACUGUUUGAAGAGGAGGAGGAAAGUGCCGUCGAUUCCGGUGAAAACGGAGAAGACGAAGAGGAGGAAGACGGCAUCACCAUUAUUGUCAGCGGCAUCAUGCCCUCCACCUCAGAGGAUGCAGUGAUCUUCUACUUUGAGAAUUCUAGACGAUCAGGAGGAGGCGAUGUCUCCGAGAUCCAUUUCAACGAAAAAGGGGAAGCGAUCAUAACUUUUUCUGAGGUUAAAGACCUGCAGCGCCUUCUCGAGGAGUCACACAAAAUUUACGGCCAAAUGAUAACAGUGGUAAGACAGCCUCCUUCGAAAAAAGUGCCGCUUGAUCCAUUAAGAGUUCAUGUUCAAGGAAUCAGCGAAACGACCACCAUAGAUUGUUUGACCUGUUAUCUGGAAAAGUUUGUUGAUGUUGAGGUUGAAAAUGUGUAUCUUGGUGCAAAGAAUAAUGCCCUGGCAGUUUUUGAAAGUGAACCAGACUUUGAAUCACUCUUGCAUAAAGUUAACAAAGAUAAAAAAGGCUUGGAGGGAAAGAAACCGCGCCUGGAAAGAGUAGCAGUCUGUUCAUGUAUUCUGGUCACGGGACUGAAGAAAGAGUCAACCGAUCACACCAUUGAGCUUUAUUUUGACAAUGAAAAACGAAGUGGUGGGAAGGAUGUCUACAGAGUGGAAAGGAUUAGGAAAGACCAGGCCUUAGUCUAUUUCGAGGAUCAUACAAGAGUUCAUGAUGUCAUUGCAAGAAGCCAGAGACAGGCCAACGCCCUUGACGGCGCUAUCUUGGAAGUGACGCCGUACUACCCUUUCCUGGGAAACGGAGAUGACGUUCAAUCUAGAAGUUGAUACCAUGAAUACAUUAAUCCCGGUUUAUCCCAAGGUAAACUGCUACUUGAGGAGCGCAGAGUGGCUGAAUUCCUACAUGGCUCGAUAGUCACGAUUUCACCCUCGGGAAGGGACCCUUCAUCAGAAGAACGAACUGAGAAGUUCAAGAGUUUCCUGCCUAUCCCUAGGAAGUGUGAUGUUUCUGUUCCUCCCGAAAUAUUUGUCGAGAUCUCAAAGCCCUGGCAAGAACUAACUUUCGAGAAAGAAAAAGCAAAUGGUCAGGUAUCGUAUGACCAUAGAAGGUUGGGCUUCAAAACAUUUUAGAACACUUAGAACACAAAGCGCAAAAGCUGCAAUACUUGAAUCUUAAAGUUGAGGACAACUCAGAACUGGUGAGGGAAAGAAGGUUACCGCAAUACUGCGUCGUUGGCCUUUUAAAGGACUGGGCACACCAGAAGUAAAGAUUGCGUCG